rnacentral:rRNA from 1 species
UACAGAGGUCCCAAGCGUUGUUCGGAUUUACUGGGCGUAAAGGGUGCGCAGGCGGCUGGAUAAGUUUGAUGUGAAAUCUUCGGGCUUAACCCGGAAAAGGCAUUGAAUACUAUUCGGCUGGAGGUUUGGAGGGGGGACUGGAAUUCUCGGUGUAGCAGUGAAAUGCGUAGAUAUCGAGAGGAACACCAGUGGCGAAGGCGAGUCCCUGGACAACACCUGACACUGAGGCACGAAAGCUAGGGGAGCAAACAGG